AAAACCGAUCUAAUAUAUUAAAGACCCUAACACUCCAAUCUUAAAUUAAAUGCUACUCUCGAAGAAUCAGAGCCCAAGGAUUGGGGCUCUGAUUCCCUUCGCUUCCCUCUACAUUUUAGUAACAAGAAGUUGAAUUAAAGCGGAAGUUCCAAGAAUUACCUUGUCGGAGGUGACGAAGACAACGACGAUGAUGAGCUUCUAGGUAAAUGGUCCU
rnacentral:lncRNA from 1 species